rnacentral:rRNA from 1 species
GCUUGCUGGGCUUUUACUGACGCUGAGGCUCGAAAGCGUGGGGAGCAAACAGGAUUAGAUACCCUGGUAGUCCACGCCGUAAACGAUGAUUACUAGGUGUGGGGGGAUUGACCCCUUCCGUGCCGCAGUUAACACAAUAAGUAAUCCACCUGGGGAGUACGACCGCAAGGUUGAAACUCAAAGGAAUUGACGGGGGCCCGCACAAGCAGUGGAGUAUGUGGAUUAAUUCGAAGCAACGCGAAGAACCUUACCGGGUCUUGACAUCGAGUGACCGCUCUAGAGAUAGAGCUUUCUCUUCGGAGACACGAAGACAGGUGGUGCAUGGUUGUCGUCAGCUCGUGUCGUGAGAUGUUGGGUUAAGUCCCGCAACGAGCGCAACCCUUAUGAUUAGUUGCUACGCAAGAGCACUCUAAUCAGACUGCCGUUGACAAAACGGAGGAAGGUGGGGAUGACGUCAAAUCAUCAUGCCCUUUAUGACCCGGGCCUCACACGUACUACAAUGGCGUUUAACAAAGAGAAGCAAAGCCGCGAGGCGGAGCAAACCUCGAAAAAACGUCUCAGUUCAGAUUGCAGGCUGCAACUCGCCUGCAUGAAGUCGGA